rnacentral:tRNA from 1 species
GGGCCCAUAGCUCAGUUGGUAGAGCGCGUCGUUCGCAAUGACGAGGUCGAGAGUUCGAAUCUCUUUGGGUCCACCA